rnacentral:rRNA from 1 species
GACGGAAGGUGCAAGCGUUGCUCGGAAUCACUGGGCGUAAAGGGUGCGUAGGCGGCUGUGUAAGUCUGGCGUGAAAGCCCAGGGCUCAGCCCUGGAAGUGCGCUAGAAACUGCGCGGCUGGAGUGCCGGAGGGGAGAGUGGAAUUCCUGGUGUAGCGGUGAAAUGCGUAGAUAUCAGGAGGAAUACCAGUGGCGAAGGCGGCCCGCUGGUCCAGUACUGACACUCAAGUGCGAAAGCGUGGGGAGCAAACAGG